AUGGUGCUUAUGGUGGUGCUCAGGAGUGGACACGGCACUUGGCCACACACCCCAGACACGGUGCUCAGCCACAUGUGUGGGCAUGGUGCUGAGCUGGGCUGUGUGGACACAGCGCUCGGCCAAGGGGCUUGGACAUGGAGCAUGGACAUGGUGGUUGGGCACAGAGCAUGGACACGGUGUUUGCCCAGAGCAGGGACACGGUGGUUGCCCAGAGCAUUGACAUGGUGGUUGGGCACGGAGCAGGGACAUGAUGGUUGCCCACCCUGCAUGGGCAUGGCGCACAGUUUGGUGAUGCUCGGGCACCGGGCACCCCCAAGGCACCACCUGGCCAACCCUGUGCUCCUGGUGCUGAGCACUGUGCCAGCACCACAUCCAUCCCGUGUCCAUCCCGUGUCCAUCCCGUGUCCAUCUCAUGUCCAUCUCAUGUCCAUCCCAUCUCCAGCACCGUGUCCAUCCCGUGUCCAUCCUGUGUCCAGCACCGUGUCCAGCCCUGUCCAGGCUCCCGCAGCUCCUCGCUCUCAUCCCCUCCUGCCUCCCCCCGCUCCUCCCGCCUCUUUCUUUUCCCCUUCCCCUUUUUUUGGGUUGAUUUUCCUUUUUUUGGGGUUUCUUGGUGCUACUUUUCCCCCGUGCCCCCCAGCAGAUACCUCAGCCCCCAGCCCCGGGUGCAGCUUGUCCGGGAUCAGGGAUCCUCUCCCGCAUUUCCGAGAUCCUCUCCCACAUUUCCGAGAUCCUCUCCCACAUUUCUGGGAUCCUCUCCUGAAUUUCUGGGAUCAGGGGUCCUCUCCAUUUUCCAUCCUUUUCCCUUUUCCCUUUCCCACCCGGGUUUUCCCCAUUUCUGCGCCUCCUUCAGGGAUUUUCGACCCCGCCGCAAUUUCCUCAUUUGGGUUCCGGGAGCGAGGAGGGGUUUUGGGUCAGUGGGAUUUUUUGUUCUGGAACUGUUAUUUUAUUUUAUUUUAUUUUAUUUUAUUUUAUUUUAUUUUAUUUUAUUUUAUUUUGAUAUUCUUUUUUUUUAAUUCUAUUCUAUUUUAUUUUGUCUUAUUUUAUUUUGGAAAUUCUAUUUUUUUUUUUGCUUGAUUUGACUUGAUUUAAUUUGAUUUGGAAAUUUUAUUUUAUUUUAUUUUAUUUUAUUUUAUUUUAUUUUAUUUUAUUUUUUAUUUUAUUUUUUAUUUUACUUUAUUUUAUUUUAAUUUUUAUUUUAUUUUUUUGCACCAUGGCAAUUCCAAAUUUACAACCCAAGUGUUGUUUCUUCUGGGAUCCAGGAAUUCGGCCGGAGGCGGGGCGGCUCUUCCGGCGCUUUUGGGGAAUUUUUGGGGAUUUUUUGGGGAUUUUUUUCCUGGGGUGUUCCAGUGGUUUUUUGGGAUUUCUUUUCAGAUUUUUUCUGGGGUGUUCCGGCGUUAUUUGGGAUUUAUUUGGGGAUUUUUUCUGGGGUAUUCCAGUGCUUUUUGGAGAUUUAUUUGGGGAUUUUUUUCAGGGGUAUUCCAGCGGUUUUUGGGGAUAUUUUUGGGAGUGUUCCAGUGGGGUUUUUUGGGGAUUUUUAGGGUGUAUUCUGGCACAUUUUGGGAUUUUUGGGGAGAUUUUUUUUGGCGUCUUCCGGCAUUGUUUGGGAUUUAUUUUGGGAUUUGUUUGGUGGGUAUUCUGGUGUUAUUUGGGAUUUAUUUUGGGAUUUGUUUGGUGGGUAUUCUGGUGUUAUUUGGGAUUUAUUUUGGGGUUUUUUGGGGGGAUUUUUCUUGGGAUAUUCCGGCAUGGUUUGGGAUUUUUUUUUGUGAUUUAUUUUGGGACUUUUUGGGACUGUUCCAGCGUUAUUUGGUAUUUAUUUGGGGGGUUUUUUUUGGAGAUUUUUUUUUUUUUUGGGGGGGUGUUCUGGCGCUUUUUGGGAUUUAUUUUGGGAUUUCUUUUGGGGUUUUUUGGGGUGUUCUGGUGCUUUUUGGGAUUUCUUUUGGGAUUUUUUGGGAGGUAUUCCGUCGCUUUUUGGGAUUUAUUUGAGGCUGUUCCGGCGUUAUUUGGGAUUUAUUUUGGGAUUUCUUUUGGGGUUUUUUGGGGGUGUUCUGGUGCUUUUUGGGGUGUUCUGGGGACGGCGGCAGCUGCAGGGGAGGCACCGGGGGGUCCCAAACCCUUUGGGGUUCCUGGCUGGGCUCGGUCUGGGGUUACUUGAAAUGAAGUUUCGGGGCGGAUCAAGGAGCGGUAGAAUUUUUUCCCACGUCUCAAGGCAAUAGGAUUAAUUAAUUAAUGAAUUAAUUAACAUGUAAUUAAACUGUAGAUACUCCUAGGACAGGAAAUCGAUGCCGAUAAUUUUAUUUUGUAUCAUUUUCCCUUUCUCUCUGUGUUGUUUUUCCCCCUUUUCCCUCCUUUUCUUUCCCCCAAUGUUUCAAUAAAUUUAUUUUUUAGGAUUCCUAAAAAUCGCA
rnacentral:lncRNA from 1 species